AAAGAUACCUACCUAUAUAAUAUUUAAUGAAUAUACCGUAUUUACGACGAAAAAUCCGGUAUGUCUACGCUACCGAACACCGGCGAGUCAAUAACACUCGCAGACGUAGAUAAUAAACUAGAUUGCUAGGUUCCCUGUACUAUCCGUGUAAACGUUCGAGGCCAUAAUAUAUCCGCCGUUACUGGUAUAUAGGUCAUUUUGUAUCUUAUCAUGUCAUAAUUUUGAUAACACAAUUUAUGACAGAUCGCGAAAUAAUUCAUGCGACAGGAAUAGAUCAAAUUUAAACAACGUCUUUUUUUUUUCACCGACGUUUUGGACGCCGC